rnacentral:lncRNA from 1 species
AGAAUCUUAACAAAAUAGGGAGGAGUUCCUUAGUCCAGCAUACUUAGUAGUACUAUAAUACUAGUCUAGCAGCAAAUCAUAGAGUGCAACUUCUAAAAUCAAUCUUCUUCUAGUUCCCCUUCAGUGCCAAUGCCAAUGUCAGUGCCUUCACCCUCCUCUGCAUCCUGAAAUGUCAUCCUUUCCAAUUCUGGUUCAUUAAGGAAAAGUUGAGCAAGCUCUCCUACUUCUUGUCCUUCAAUGUCGAAGUGAUCCCCACCUACAAAAAUAAAAGAAAAUCAGUUGUUAUCAUGCAUUAAACACUAUUAGUUGCAUUUUUGAAUAUCAGGAAACAGUGAACUUACUAAUGUCCCAAAAUUUUGUAGGUCCAUCUGUAUACACCUUGCUUUUCCUUGAAAG